rnacentral:rRNA from 1 species
GAUGAACGCUGGCGGCGUGCUUAACACAUGCAAGUCGAACGGAAAGGCCCUAGCUUCCUUGUGUACUCGAGUGGCGAACGGGUGAGUAACACGUGGGCGAUCUGCUCUGCACUUCGGGAUAAGCCUGGGAAACUGGGUCUAAUCCCGGAUAGGACGAUGGUUUGGAUGCCAUUGUGGAAAGUUUUUUCGGUGUGGGAUGAGCUCGCGGCCUAUUAGGUUUUUGGUGGGGUAAUGGCCUACCAAGGCGUCGACGGGUAGCCGGCCUGAGAGGGUGUACGGCCACAUUGGGACUGUGAUGCGGGCCAGACUGCGACGGGGGGCAGAAGUGGGGAAUAUUGGACAAAGGGCGCAAGCCUGAGGCAAGGACGCCGCGGGGGGGAUGACGGCCUUCGGGUUGUAAACACCUUUCGCUAGGGACGAAGCGUUUUUGUGACGGUACCUAGAGAAGAAGCACCGGCUAACUACGUG